GAUGAAGAACGUAGCGAAAUGCGAUAAGUAAUGUGAAUUGCAGAAUUCAGUGAAUCAUCGAAUCUUUGAACGCAUCUUGCGCUCCUUGGUAUUCUGAGGAGCAUGCCUGUUUGAGUGUCAUUAAAUUCUCAACUACACUGACUUUGAAUUGGUGUGGCUUGGAUUUGGGGGGAAAAUUGUUGUGGGCUUUUUGUAUAGUCUGCUCCCCUGAAAUUGAUUAGCGGUACCUUUGUGGAACUGUCUACAGGUGUGAUAAUUAUCUACAUCUUAGACAUCUGCUGGAAUGCUGCUUUCUAAACCUUACUGGUAUUGACAAUCUUGACCUCAAAUCAGGUAGGACUACCCGCUGAACUUAAGCAUAUCAAUAAGCGGAGGA
rnacentral:misc_RNA from 1 species